rnacentral:rRNA from 1 species
GGCGGUUAGAUAAGUNUGAAGUUAAAGGCUGUGGCUUANCCAUAGUACGCUUUGGAAACUGUUUAACUUGAGUGCAGAAGGGGAGAGUGGAAUUCCAUGUGUAGCGGUGAAAUGCGUAGAUAUAUGGAGGANCACCGGUGGUGAAAGCGGCUCUCUGGUCUGUAACUGACGCUGAGGCUCGAAAGCGUGGGGAGCGAACAGGAUUAGAUACCCUGGUAGUCCACGCCGUAAACGAUGAGUGCUAGGUGUUAGGCCCUUUCCGGGGCUUAGUGCCGCAGCUAACGCAUUAAGCACUCCGCCUGGGGAGUACGACCGCAAGGUUGAAACUCAAAGGAAUUGACGGGGGCCCGCACAAGCGGUGGAGCAUGUGGUUUAAUUCGAAGCAACGCGAAGAACCUUACCAGGUCUUGACAUCCCGAUGCCCGCUCUAGAGAUAGAGUUUUACUUCGGUACAUCGGUGACAGGUGGUGCAUGGUUGUCGUCAGCUCGUGUCGUGAGAUGUUGGGUUAAGUCCCGCAACGAGCGCAACCCUUAUUGUUAGUUGCCAUCAUUCAGUUGGGCACUCUAGCGAGACUGCCGGUAAUAAACCGGAGGAAGGUGGGGAUGACGUCAAAUCAUCAUGCCCCUUAUGACCUGGGCUACACACGUGCUACAAUGGCUGGUACAACGAGUCGCAAGUCGGUGACGGCAAGCUAAUCUCUUAAAGCCAGUCUCAGUUCGGAUUGUAGGCUGCAACUCGCCUACAUGAAGUCGGAAUCGCUAGUAAUCGCGGAUCAGCACGCCGCGGUGAAUACGUUCCCGGGCCUUGUACACACCGCCCGUCACACCACGAGAGUUUGUAACACCCGAAGUCGGUGAGGUAACCUUUUAGGAGC